ensembl:lncRNA
GUCAUUCCUGAAACUGUAUACAUGGAUGUUUGGACCUCUUAGACAAAUAGAUUGAAUAGAUGGCAAAUUGUUUCUUCAAAUUGUGAAUGGAUUAUAGAGAAACCGAGCAAAGGGUGCUCCCAUUAUAGCGCAACAUCCAAGCGAGAACUCCUGAUAUAAUCAAUCACUACUACAUAAUAAAUUGCUUAUCUGCGUGUAAACUUUCCCUAAAGAACUGAUCGGCCAUUGCUUUCAACAGAGAUGCCUGUGAUUGGCUACAGUACUGUAUGCUGCAAAAACGUUGUAAAUAGAAAAUUUUGGUUUUGUAAUUCAAAAUCAGAGUGCGCACAGGAGCGUUUGAAAGUGGUAGUGUGGAAAAAAUAACACAACCAGGCAACUCGUAGGUCUCAAAAUGGUGAAUUUUCACUGCAAGGUGAGGAGUUUGCAUCUAUGCAAGUAAGCAAGCAAAUACAUAAAUAAAUCCUGUAAUUUAUGAAUAGAUUUAUUUUUACUGUUUUUAUGUCAGUGUUUAUACACACAUGCAUGCAUACACUUACAACAAUUUUUAAACAGUUUUCAAAUAGUGCAAAGUACACUUGAAUGGUCAGUAAAUUUACAGGAAAUUAACCCAUGAUUUAUGUUCUUAUGCACGUCCUUAUAAACUUUUCAAGCCAACAGUCAUCUGUAUCUGGUUUUUAGUCUGUUCUUUUUUGCAGCUAAUGUCAAUUUGACAUCACAGGUAAUAAAUGUUGCUAAGCAGACACAUGUAUGUCAUUGAACACUGAUUUCCCAUUGAAAAGAUGAUUGCAUGGGGUAUAGCUGCACUUUAGCAUUGUUAUCUAUUAUCCCUUGCUUUCAACCAUAGGACAGCAAACCCUACUAUUUAUGUUGUCAUAUCAUUAUCAUCACAUUUCUACCAUCACAAUACCCUAUACAACCUCACACAUGCUAGGCCUGUGUCCAUCGUAAUGGAGCAGGACAUGAGUAUUGUUUAUACUUUAAGGUCAUCUCUGAACACAAUCACACUUCCUGUCCUCCCCCACAGCUUCCAGUGGGCAUGGAGUAUCCCUCAUCCUCACAGACGUGUGUGUGUGGGAGUGGAAGGCAGGGUUAGGUAAGGUGAUGGUGGUAGUUUUGAUGUAUUAUAUGCCAGAAUGCUCUGUCUGUUCCAGCACAGCGCAGGGUUUGGGUGGCAGCCAGACUCUUCUGUUACCAUGAGAACCAUUUACUCCAGUCUGGCAUCACAAGAGCAUUUCAGCCCUUUGCUACAGGAUGAACCAGUCAAUACAAAAUAAAUAAAUAAUCAAAUAAAUACAACAUGCCUGACAAAAGCGGACAGCAAGGUGUAUAAAUAGUGAAUUCCCCAAAUAUAUUCAAUGGUCCAUCAUCCCAGAUGGCCAAAAUCCCUAUAAAUUCCACAAAAGAAAACGCUGUCAAGUAGUUCUCGGAACAAAACACAGUCAUACUCUGUUGGACAGGAAGGAGAAUUCCCGGGUAAUUCCACAGAAUCUGUGUGUCAGCAGAGGGAUAUUACACUCUUUAAAAACAACAGGGGCCACGGGCAAUGAUGUACAGCAGAGUGAGGGAGGGUGGACAUAAACAUUACUAGAAAAAUAUGAAAUAUUCGGGAAAGGUCACCGACAUUGAACGGAAAGUCCAUGCACUCAUGAGGCUUGAAAUUUGAUGAGUAAUAAUUUGACUAAGGAAAUUGUUAGAGCCAGGAUUGUUGUAUAAAUAUAAGGGCCAAGUUUCUUAUUAUUAGUAUCACAAGAUGUGUUUUAGCUGUCAUAUAGCGCUCCCUGCUGGCAAUACCUGCUUCAGUUCAAAUGCAUCAUUCCCACAGGAAAGCUAAAGAGCUUAAUCACUGAAUUUAACUGAAAAUAAAUAAAUAAAUAAAUCUUCUUAAGUAGUUUUGUCUUGCAAUAUCCUAACAUCCUUUAAACAAGACACAGUAUAUUUACAUUAGUCUUGAUUUCAGAUAAAU